UACGGGAGGCAGCAGUGGGGAAUAUUGCACAAUGGGCGAAAGCCUGAUGCAGCUAUGCCGCGUGUAUGAAGAAGGCCUUAGGGUUGUAAAGUACUUUCAUCGGGGAGGAAAAACAAAACUAAUAAUUUUAUUUCUUGACGUUACCCGAAAAAGAAGCACCGGCUAACUCCGUGCCAGCAGCCGCGGUAAUACGGAGGGUGCUAGCGUUAAUCAGAAUUACUGGGCGUAAAGAGCACGUAGGUGGUUUUUUUAAGUCAGAUGUGAAAUCCCUGGGCUUAACCUAGGAACCGCAUUUUGAAACUGAAAUACUAGAGUAUCGUAGAGGGAGGUAGAAUUCUAGGUGUAGCGGUGAAAUGCGUAGAUAUCUGGAGGAAUACCUGUGGCGAAAGCGGCCUCCUAAACGAAUACUGACACUGAGGGUGCGAAAGCGUGGGGAGCAAACAGGGAUUAGAUACC
rnacentral:rRNA from 1 species